rnacentral:rRNA from 1 species
AACGAACGCUGGCGGCGUGCCUAAUACAUGCAAGUCGAACGCAGUGGGGACGGGUGAGUAACACGUGGGUAACCUCCCAUCAGAGGGGAUAACACUUGGAAACCGGUGCUAAACCGAUACUGAUGGAUGGACCCGCGGUGGAUUAGCUAGUUGGUGAGGUAACGGCUCACCAAGGCCACGAUGCAUAGCCGGACUGAGAGGGUGAUAGGCCACACUGGGACUGAGACACGGCCCAGACUCCUACGGGAGGCAGCAGUAGGGAAUCUUCGGCAAUGGACGAAAGUCUGACCGAGCAACGCCGCGUGAGUGAAGAAGGUUUUCGGAUCGUAAAGCACUGUUGUUAGAGAAGCGGUAUCUAACCAGAAAGCAACGGCUAACUCCGUGCCAGCCGCCGCGGUAAUUC